UACGAAGGGGGGCUAGCGUUGUUCGGAAUUACUGGGCGUAAAGCGUGCGCAGGCGGCUUCUCAAGUCAGGGGUGAAAGCCCAGAGCUCAACUCUGGAAUUGCCUUUGAGACUGUGAGGCUUGAGUACGGGAGAGGUGAGUGGAAUUCCCAGUGUAGAGGUGAAAUUCGUAGAUAUUCGGAAGAACACCAGUGGCGAAGGCGACUUACUGGACACAUAUUGACGCUGAGGUGCGAAAGCGUGGGGAGCAAACAGG
rnacentral:rRNA from 1 species